rnacentral:rRNA from 1 species
UACGUAGGGCGCAAGCGUUGUCCGGAAUUAUUGGGCGUAAAGAGCUCGUAGGCGGCUAGUUGCGUCUGCUGUGAAAUCCCGGGGCUCAACCCCGGGCGUGCAGUGGAUACGGGCUGGCUAGAGGCAGGCAGGGGAGAACGGAAUUCCCGGUGUAGCGGUGAAAUGCGCAGAUAUCAGGAGGAACACCGGUGGCGAAGGCGGGUCUCUGGGCCGUAACUGACGCUGAGGAGCGAAAGCGUGGGGAGCGAACAGG